AUUUAUAUAGUAUAAAAAUUAUAAUUGAUUUCCAAUCAAAAGAUCUAAAUAACUUAGUAUAAAUA
rnacentral:tRNA from 1 species